rnacentral:pre_miRNA from 1 species
GCUACUCCAUGUCCUAAAGAAACCUCAUUCAGAAGGUGUACCUGGAUGACAUGUAUAUACAGGUACAUCCUUAAGAUUGGAUUUUUAUUUAGGACGGAGGGAGUAGG